AUAACCGGCGAUACCCGAAUGGGGAAACCCAGUGUGAUUCGUCACACUAUCAUUAACUGAAUCCAUAGGUUAAUGAGGCGAACCGGGGGAACUGAAACAUCUAAGUACCCCGAGGAAAAGAAAUCAACCGAGAUUCCCCCAGUAGCGGCGAGCGAACGGGGAGGAGCCCAGAGCCUGAAUCAGCAUGUGUGUUAGUGGAAGCGUCUGGAAAGGCGCGCGAUACAGGGUGACAGCCCCGUACACAAAAGCGCAUGUGCUGUGAGCUCGAUGAGUAGGGCGGGACACGUGGUAUCCUGUCUGAAUAUGGGGGGACCAUCCUCCAAGGCUAAAUACUCCUGACUGACCGAUAGUGAACCAGUACCGUGAGGGAAAGGCGAAAAGAACCCCGGCGAGGGGAGUGAAAAAGAACCUGAAACCGUGUACGUACAAGCAGUGGGAGCACCCUUUGGGUGUGACUGCGUACCUUUUGUAUAAUGGGUCAGCGACUUAUAUUCUGUAGCAAGGUUAACCGAAUAGGGGAGCCGGAGGGAAACCGAGUCUUAACCGGGCGUUAAGUUGCAGGGUAUAGACCCGAAACCCGGUGAUCUAGCCAUGGGCAGGUUGAAGGUUGGGUAACACUAACUGGAGGACCGAACCGACUAAUGUUGAAAAAUUAGCGGAUGACCUGUGGCUGGGGGUGAAAGGCCAAUCAAACCGGGAGAUAGCUGGUUCUCCCCGAAAGCUAUUUAGGUAGCGCCUCGUGAAUUCAUCUCCGGGGGUAGAGCACUGUUUCGGCUAGGGGGCCAUCCCGGCUUACCAACCCGAUGCAAACUGCGAAUACCGGAGAAUGUUAUCACGGGAGACACACGGCGGGUGCUAACGUCCGUCGUGAAGAGGGAAACAACCCAGACCGCCAGCUAAGGUCCCAAAGUCAUGGUUAAGUGGGAAACGAUGUGGGAAGGCCCAGACAGCCAGGAUGUUGGCUUAGAAGCAGCCAUCAUUUAAAGAAAGCGUAAUAGCUCACUGGUCGAGUCGGCCUGCGCGGAAGAUGUAACGGGGCUAAACCAUGCACCGAAGCUGCGGCAGCGACACUGUGUGUUGUUGGGUAGGGGAGCGUUCUGUAAGCCUGUGAAGGUGUGUCGUGAGGCAUGCUGGAGGUAUCAGAAGUGCGAAUGCUGACAUAAGUAACGAUAAAGCGGGUGAAAAGCCCGCUCGCCGGAAGACCAAGGGUUCCUGUCCAACGUUAAUCGGGGCAGGGUGAGUCGACCCCUAAGGCGAGGCCGAAAGGCGUAGUCGAUGGGAAACGGGUUAAUAUUCCCGUACUUGGUGUUACUGCGAAGGGGGGACGGAGAAGGCUAUGUUGGCCGGGCGACGGUUGUCCCGGUUUAAGCGUGUAGGUGUGUGUUCCAGGUAAAUCCGGUUCACUUUAACACUGAGGCGUGACGACGAGGCACUACGGUGCUGAAGCAACAAAUGCCCUGCUUCCAGGAAAAGCCUCUAAGCAUCAGGUAACAUCAAAUCGUACCCCAAACCGACACAGGUGGUCAGGUAGAGAAUACCAAGGCGCUUGAGAGAACUCGGGUGAAGGAACUAGGCAAAAUGGUGCCGUAACUUCGGGAGAAGGCACGCUGACACGUAGGUGAAGUGAUUUACUCAUGGAGCUGAAGUCAGUCGAAGAUACCAGCUGGCUGCAACUGUUUAUUAAAAACACAGCACUGUGCAAACACGAAAGUGGACGUAUACGGUGUGACGCCUGCCCGGUGCCGGAAGGUUAAUUGAUGGGGUCAGCGCAAGCGAAGCUCCUGAUCGAAGCCCCGGUAAACGGCGGCCGUAACUAUAACGGUCCUAAGGUAGCGAAAUUCCUUGUCGGGUAAGUUCCGACCUGCACGAAUGGCGUAAUGAUGGCCAGGCUGUCUCCACCCGAGACUCAGUGAAAUUGAACUCGCUGUGAAGAUGCAGUGUACCCGCGGCAAGACGGAAAGACCCCGUGAACCUUUACUAUAGCUUGACACUGAACAUUGAGCCUUGAUGUGUAGGAUAGGUGGGAGGCUUUGAAGUGUGGACGCCAGUCUGCAUGGAGCCGACCUUGAAAUACCACCCUUUAAUGUUUGAUGUUCUAACGUGGACCCGUUACCCGGGUUGCGGACAGUGUCUGGUGGGUAGUUUGACUGGGGCGGUCUCCUCCUAAAGAGUAACGGAGGAGCACGAAGGUUGGCUAAUCCUGGUCGGACAUCAGGAGGUUAGUGCAAUGGCAUAAGCCAGCUUGACUGCGAGCGUGACGGCGCGAGCAGGUGCGAAAGCAGGUCAUAGUGAUCCGGUGGUUCUGAAUGGAAGGGCCAUCGCUCAACGGAUAAAAGGUACUCCGGGGAUAACAGGCUGAUACCGCCCAAGAGUUCAUAUCGACGGCGGUGUUUGGCACCUCGAUGUCGGCUCAUCACAUCCUGGGGCUGAAGUAGGUCCCAAGGGUAUGGCUGUUCGCCAUUUAAAGUGGUACGCGAGCUGGGUUUAGAACGUCGUGAGACAGUUCGGUCCCUAUCUGCCGUGGGCGCUGGAGAACUGAGGGGGGCUGCUCCUAGUACGAGAGGACCGGAGUGGACGCAUCACUGGUGUUCGGGUUGUCAUGCCAAUGGCACUGCCCGGUAGCUAAAUGCGGAAGAGAUAAGUGCUGAAAGCAUCUAAGCACGAAACUUGCCCCGA
rnacentral:rRNA from 1 species